rnacentral:rRNA from 1 species
UACGUAGGGUGCGAGCGUUGUCCGGAAUUAUUGGGCGUAAAGAGCUUGUAGGCGGUUUGUCGCGUCUGCUGUGAAAUCUCAAGGCUCAACCUUGAGCUUGCAGUGGGUACGGGCAGACUAGAGUGUGGUAGGGGAGACUGGAAUUCCUGGUGUAGCGGUGAAAUGCGCAGAUAUCAGGAGGAACACCGAUGGCGAAGGCAGGUCUUUGGGCCACUACUGACGCUGAGAAGCGAAAGCAUGGGGAGCGAACAGG